UGUAGCUCAGCGAUAGAGCACUUGUCUAGCAUGUAUGAGGCUCUGGGUUCAACCCAGCA
rnacentral:tRNA from 1 species